rnacentral:lncRNA from 1 species
AUGUGUGUGUGUCUGCUCAGUGUAAGCCUAACAAGUGUACAGAUCCUGCUGUGCGUCAGUCAGGGCCCUGGAACAGCUUGUCAGCAUGGCUCAUGUCACAAAGUGUUUCUUCAAAGCAGUAAACACACACACAAUCCACAUUGUGUUUCAGGAAGACAAUGGUUCAAAGGGUCUGCCGGGCUAUUUUUAUCAUGGAAGUCUGGAAGGAAAAUGAUGUCACAUGCCGGGAAAAGUGUCCAGCUAUUCCAACAGACCACAGCUAAAAGAUUCUUGUUUUUAUUUGUUUCUCUGAGAAUUGAGAUCAUUCAAAAAAGAGAAGAAAUGUACAAGGAUUCUCCCAAACGAAUUCUGCUCUACUUCUUUCAAGUAAGGAAAAGCACAAAGAAGAAAGAAAGUCACAGAUCUUCAAAGGAACAUUGUCCUUAUCUGAGACUCACACUGAAGGAACUGCCACUAUGUGUAACAUUUCUGGAGCCGCAGCAAACACCUCACAUCAGCAAUGGAAUGUUCAGCCUGGAAGUGACACAUGCAAUUUGGUGGCCAGAUAUCUUCCACAGGUGUUCUCACAGAGCAAUGAGAACUCAACAUGGCAAGCAACACCAGUGA